UACGUAGGGGGCUAGCGUUGUCCGGAUUUAUUGGGCGUAAAGAGCGUGUAGGCGGCCAGGUAGGUCUGCUGUGAAAACUCGAGGCUCAACCUCGAGACGUCGGCGGAAACCAUCUGGCUAGAGUCCGGAAGAGGAGAGUGGAAUUCCUGGUGUAGCGGGUGAAAUGCGCAGAUAUCAGGAAGAACACCCGUGGCGAAGGCGGCUCUCUGGGACGGUACUGACGCUGAGACGCGAAAGCGUGGGGAGCGAACAGG
rnacentral:rRNA from 1 species